GACGAACCGUCCUAACGUUGUUCGGAUUCACUGGGCGUAAAGGGCGCGUAGGCGGCUGUUCAAGUCGGGGGUGAAAUCCCGUGGCUCAACCACGGAAUGGCCUUCGAUACUGGACGGCUCGAGACCGGAAGAGGUGAGUGGAACUGCGAGUGUAGAGGUGAAAUUCGUAGAUAUUCGCAAGAACACCAGUGGCGAAGGCGGCUCACUGGUCCGGUUCUGACGCUGAGGCGCGAAAGCGUGGGGAGCAAACAGG
rnacentral:rRNA from 1 species